UACGGAGGGUGCAAGCGUUAAUCGGAAUUACUGGGCGUAAAGCGCACGCAGGUGGCUGAGUCAGUCGAUUGUGAAAGCCCUGGGCUUAACCUGGGAAUUGCAGUCGAUACUACUCAGCUAGAGUAUGGGAGAGGGUAGUGGAAUUCCGGGUGUAGUGGUGGAAUGCGUAGAGAUCCGGAGGAACACCAGUGGCGAAGGCGGCUGCCUGGGCCUGGCCUGACGCUGAGGCGCGAAAGCGUGGGGAGCGAUCCGG
rnacentral:rRNA from 1 species